rnacentral:lncRNA from 1 species
GUUCUUAUCCCAAAAGCUAGGGUCUUUGGGUUUGUCAAAUACUAGAUUAUUAAAGUGAUUGACUGUUUUGUACUUUGAAUCUAACUUAUCCCACUGAUCAACUAGUCUAUUUCUUAGCCAAUACCAAAUGGUUUUGGUAACCGCUGCUUUAUAAUAUAAUUUUAGAUCUGGUACAGCUAGGAUUUGAUUUUUUUUUUUCAUUAAUUCCCUUGAAAUUCUUGACCUUUUGUUUUUCCAUAUGAACUUUGUUGUUAUUUUUUCUAGGUCCUCAAUUAGUUUUGAUGACUCCCUUGUAGCUGUAUUAUCAUAGUUUCUUUUAGUUCAUAUUGGAAAUGGUAUUUUCUUUUCAUCUUCUUUCUUUUUUUCCUGAAGUCCACUCAAGUCCCAUGAAAUUUGGGAAAUACUGGGUAAACUCUCUUGGUCAGAUAGUAAGUCUCCUUCUAUCUCCUGUGUCAUCACUGAAUCUGGUGAAACUAAAAGCAGGUUACACUUAUAUGUGGCCUAUAUUUGACUCUGAAACUUCACCCUAUUACUCCUAGUUCUGCCCCCCGGGGCUCAGGAAAAUAAGUCAACCUCUCUGCUGCAAAAGACUAUUUUCCAGAAACUGGAAAACAGCUGAAUUAUUGUUUUAUUAUAUACCUCCCUUGCUGCUGAAAGAAGCUGGAGGAAAAUAUGAAACUAUACUAACUAAGCAUACUACAAAUUUUCAUUAUCUGUUCUUAAGUGGAUUCUUACUUCAGCAAGGCAAAUAUUCUAUUCUUUCUUAAUUGAUCUGAUAUUUCACUCUAUACUGCAAUUGUAGAGAGUUUUAGGUCUCCUCAAAUCUUCCACAUCAUUCUUUCCCCCCACCCUUGACACAGAUGUGAUUGAUUCAAACUUUGUUAAAAAAAUUGAAUCCCUGUAAUCUCCCCACCCAAGUUCUCUCCUCAUUACUUAAAUAUUUCCCUCUACUAUCUCCUCUAGUCUCAAAUUAAGAGGCAGCCCCUUUCCUUGGUAAGACUUGCUGUUUACCCCUUUUUGUAGUGGCAAGGAACUGGUAACUGAGUGGAUGCCUAUCAUUUGGGGAAUGACUGCAUAAGUUAUGGUAUAUGAAUAUAUAUUGUUCUAUAAGAAACAAUUAGCAGAAUGAUUUCAGAAAGCCCUGGAAAGACUUACAUGAACUGAUGCUAAGUGAAGUGAGUAGAACCAAGAGAACACUGUACACAGAAACAAGCUGUGAUAGACUUGGAUCUUUUCAACAAAGAGAUGAUUCAGGCUAAUUCCAAUAGACUUGUGAUGGAGAGAAUCAUUUGUAUCCAAAGAGAAGACUGUGGGGACUGAAUGUGGAUCACAACAUAGUAAUUUCAUCUUUGUUGUUG